rnacentral:rRNA from 1 species
GAUGAACGCUAGCGGCAGGCUUAAUACAUGCAAGUCGAGGGGCAGCAUGGUGUAGCAAUACACUGAUGGCGACCGGCAAACGGGUGCGGAACACGUACAGAACCUUCCUUCGAGCGGGGAAUAGCCCAGAGAAAUUUGGAUUGAUACCCCAUAGUAUAUUGGAGUGGCAUCACUUUGAUAUUAAAGAUUUAUCACUUGAAGAUGGCUGUGCGGCUGAUUAGGUAGUUGGCGGGGUAACGGCCCACCAAGCCUGCGAUCAGUAACUGGUGUGAUAGCACGACCAGUCAGAGGGGGACUGAGACACGGGCCCGAAUCCUACGGGAGGCAGCAGUAAGGAAUAUUGGUCAAUGGACGAAAGUCUGAACCAGCCAUGCCGCGUGGAGGAUGAAGGUCCUCUGGAUUGUAAACUUCUUUUAUAUGGGACGAAAAAAGGCUUUUCUAAGUCGUCUGACGGUACCAUAUGAAUAAGCACCGGCUAACUCCGUGCCAGCCGCCGCAGUAACAC